rnacentral:rRNA from 1 species
GAUGAACGCUGGCGGCGUGCCUAAUACAUGCAAGUCGAGCGAACGGACGAGAAGCUUGCUUCUCUGAUGUUAGCGGCGGACGGGUGAGUAACACGUGGAUAACCUACCCAUAAGACUGGGAUAACUUCGGGAAACCGGAGCUAAUACCGGAUAAUAUUUUGAACCGCAUGGUUCAAAAGUGAAAGACGGUCUUGCUGUCACUUAUAGAUGGAUCCGCGCUGCAUUAGCUAGUUGGUAAGGUAACGGCUUACCAAGGCAACGAUGCAUAGCCGACCUGAGAGGGGGAUCGGCCACACUGGAACUGAGACACGGUCCAGACUCCUACGGGAGGCAGCAGUAGGGAAUCUUCCGCAAUGGGCGAAAGCCUGACGGAGCAACGCCGCGUGAGUGAUGAAGGUCUUCGGAUCGUAAAACUCUGUUAUUAGGGAAGAACAUAUGUGUAAGUAACUGUGCACAUCUUGACGGUACCUAAUCAGAAAGCCACGGCUAACUACGUG